rnacentral:lncRNA from 1 species
UUUUUUUUUUUUUUUUUACUUUUUGCUUAUUUGUGAUCUUAAUCAUAUAAAAAAAAUAAGCUAUAGUUUGAAAUUUAGGACAUAUGAGUUAAUAAAAGAAAUUUGAAGAAAAGUACAACAUUUAGGGUCUUAUUAAUCUGAUAGUUUUCUUUGAAGCAAAAGAUACUCAUUUAGCAUUUUAUUUUAAGAAAUAUAAACCAAUGUAAGUGAUGCUGGGUUGAGCGUUGACUUCACCCUUUCCCUGCAGUUCAUUAAUGGUGCUAAGGAAAUUUGCUAUGCUCUUCGGGCUGAAGGAUACUGGGCUGACUUCAUUGACCCGUCGUCUGGUUUGGCAUUUUUUGGACCAUAUACAAACAACACACUUUUUGAAACAGAUGAACGGUACCGGCAUUUAGGAUUCUCUGUUGAUGACCUUGGCUGCUGUAAGGUGAUCCGUCAUGGUCUCUGGGGCACUCAUGUGGUUGUGGGAAGUAUCUUCACUAAUGCAACAGCAGACAGCCAUAUCAUGAGGAAGCUCAGUGGGGACUAGCAGGUGACACUGUGACAAUUGCAGCACUGUCUGUCCGCAACGGAUUGCUCUAUCAUGGACCGCAGCUUCUAGACGAUUCUUGUUUCUAGGUAUUUAUUUCAUCAUUUAUGGGUUUACAGGGACAGGUGACUUGGGGUUUCAAAAUUGCAAAUGCUAGUUCAUAUUCUGGAACAUUGAACACAUCCAUAUUAUGAAAAAUGAGAUCAUCAACUUGUAACCAGGGUAUGUGUGGUCUUUUAGUGUUAAUUCUCCCCUUUAUUGGGAAAAUUUUAAUUAUUUUUUCCAAAAAUAAAUCAUACAUUUGUCUAUGACUGCU